AGGAUGAACGCUGGCGGCGUGCCUAAUACAUGCAAGUCGAGCGGUAAGGCCACUUCGGUGGUACACGAGCGGCGGACGGCAGAGUAACGCGUGGGAAUCUACCCCAAACUGAGGGAUAAGCACCAGAAAUGGUGUCUAAUACCGCAUAUGCUCUUCGGAGUAAAGCUACGGCGGUUUGGGAAGAGCCUGCGUAUGAUUAGCUUGUUGGUAAGGUAAAAGCUUACCAAGGCGACGAUCAUUAGCUGGUCUGAGAGGAUGAUCAGCCAGACUGGGACUGAGAACGGCCCAGACUCCUACGGGAGGCAGCAGUAGGGAAUUUUCCACAAUGGGCGAAAGCCUGAUGGAGCAACGCCGCGUGCAGGAUGAAGGCCUUCGGGUUGUAAACUGCUUUUAUAUGUGAAGAUUUUGACGGUAGCAUAUGAAUAAGGAUACGGUCUAACUCCGUGCCAGCAGCCGC
rnacentral:rRNA from 1 species